rnacentral:rRNA from 1 species
GAUGAACGCUAGCGGCAGGCCUAAUACAUGCAAGUCAAGGGGCCAGCAAUGGCACCGGCGGACGGGUGCGUAACGCGUACACAACGUACCUCUGACAGGGGGAUAGCAUUGGGAAACUGGUGGUAAUACCCCAUAGUAUUGCUGAGGGGCAUUUCUUGGCGAUUAAAGUUUCGGCGGUCAGAGAUCGGUGUGCGUCCGAUUAGCUAGUUGGCGGGGUAACGGCCCACCAAGGCGACGAUCGGUAGGGGGUGUGAGAGCAUGACCCCCCCACAUGGGUACUGAGACACGGACCCAACUCCUACGGGAGGCAGCAGUAAGGAAUAUUGGACAAUGGUCGGAAGACUGAUCCAGCCAUGCCGCGUGAAGGUCGAAGGCGCUCAGUGUUGUAAACUUCUUUUGGAUGGGGAUAAUAAUCUCGAUUUAUCGGGACUUGAAGGUACCAUCAGAAUAAGCACCGGCUAACUCCGUG